CUCACGCCAGUCUCCACAGUGUCCAAACUCCAGAGUAGAGUAGAGAAGAGAGCACUCAUCCUCAAAAAUGAGUUCUUUCAAGUCAAAAUGGAGUUUUGUGAUUCCUCUAUCUUUUUGGCUCCAGUCCUAUUUCCAAAAUCUUACCAAAGAAGUGAUGAAACAAGAAAUGGAAAUAGCUACCAGAUUGGUUGCUCGUAAGGAGGAAUACGAGAGAAUGUUGGAGAAUGUUAGAAUGUUGGAGGAUGUUAAGGAGAAGUUGGAAAAGGAUGAAACAAGUGAAAUGGCAGAAGCUUCAUUUUGGGAUCACUGGGGUGUUACAAGCAUCUGAGGAACCCAGGUGAUGAAGGUUCAAGCCUUGGAUGCGUGUUCGAUGUGAAUUGUUUCGAGUCAUAACUUUAGAGAUGUAGGACAGAAAUAGUUGUUAGAUAACUGCUUAAACCUGGACAAUACUAAUGUGGUUGAUAUGAGGGCAAACACUUGUUAUGUAGUAAGUGCUUUAUGUGGCUGAUAUGAAUGCUUACUUUUGUGCAAAGACUCGUUAUGGUGUUAAUAUCGUUUUGAAAUGUUGCUUGUGCUGAAACCUGAAAUGAAAUGUCUCUGUUGAAAGUGUGUGGUCAUAUGCAUUUUGCAAAUUUUUGUCCCUCUUCAAAUCUGGAGUCUAAUGAUGUAUGCGUAGUUUGAGUCAAUUGUUGACAUGUUUGAUUCAACAUAGAGUAGAUUACAUAAGAAUAACCAGCCGACUUUUGUUACAAACACUUGAGUUUCUCUCGUACUUCACAGUAAUGUCAUGAGAAGAAAGUAGAGGUCAUAGGGCUGUCCAAUCGACGUCCAAAAUAGUUUACUAUGGAGUCUUUCCCUAUCUGUAAUGUUUUUUUUUUUUUUGAAAUAGAAGGUUCAUUGCAUUAGAUGACCAACUAAAAAGCCAGAGUCUACAUACCCUUAAAGACAGAAAAAUGGCGGGAUAACAGCCAAGUUCCUAUCUAUAAUGUUGUUUUAAGGGAAGUUGGAAAGUUUCAGUUGUUGUUUAAGGGAACUCGAUUUUGUUUAUCUUACCUUUUUUUUUUAGCUUCAUACCAUUUGUUUUUGGUAUGACUAUGCAAGAGUUUGAAGGGUUGUUUUGCUUCAAAAGAUGGAGCUCAGACACUGACGAACUUCAUGAACCAUGAGUGUGUAGCGAUAAUCAGCAGUUUCCAGCUUUGCAUAGUUAAGUCAUCUUUUCAGAAUGCAUAGCAAGUUGAUUUACAGAGAAGCUCCAGUGGCAACUGAAGCAAGCCUCAGGUGGCUUUUGUUCUGGUAAGCUCUCAUGUUGUCCUUCCCAUGUCAAGUGGUCUUUAUAUAGCUGGGACAUAUUAAUAAUUUUAUUUUUAAUUAAUUAACAUUUAGACGUACUUAUGUAGACAUUUUUUGCCUCAUUAGUCUACAUGGCCUCUGUUCCUCAAUAUUUCUGGUCAAGGAAAAGCUCUCUUGUUUGUUUGGCCACAAAGUACCAAUUAAAUAUAUUGAUGAAUGGAUUACCAUAUUGAUAGACAGUUCUAUGGGUUUAGUUUGAUUGAAGUCAAAGUUAUUAAGUAGUCCCAAAUGGAUCCCAUCUUCCAAAUCAAGGAUUCAUCAAAGAUGAGGGAAAGAACUGGA